rnacentral:rRNA from 1 species
UACGGAGGGGACUAGCGUUGUUCGGAAUUACUGGGCGUAAAGCGCGCGUAGGCGGAUUUGCAAGUCGGGGGUGAAAUCCCGAGGCUCAACCUCGGAACUGCCUUCGAUACUGCAAAUCUCGAGUCCGGAAGAGGUGAGUGGAAUUCCUAGUGUAGAGGUGAAAUUCGUAGAUAUUAGGAAGAACACCAGUGGCGAAGGCGGCUCACUGGUCCGGUACUGACGCUGAGGCGCGAAAGCGUGGGGAGCAAACAGGAUUAGAAACCCCCGUAGUCC